UAGGGAAUCUUCGGCAAUGGACGAAAGUCUGACCGAGCAACGCCGCGUGAGUGAAGAAGGUUUUCGGAUCGUAAAACUCUGUUGGUAGAGAAGAACGUUGGUGAGAGUGGAAAGCUCAUCAAGUGACGGUAACUACCA
rnacentral:rRNA from 1 species